GAUGAGAGAGGAUAGACAGACAAAAGAAGUAAAAAAAAAACAAAAAAUACAACAACAAAAAACAGAGGAUUGGACGGGCAGAUAGACAGAGAGUACCAGAGAGCUUCUCGUUAGAGAGUAAAGAUACAGAGUAUUACCAUCAGAAGUACACAUAAACACAUUUUGGUUCUGCUGCUGGUGAUAUAUCACAUUUGUAGUAUAACAGUUUAACUAAGAGAGAUUGACUUUAUGCAUAUAGCAACAUAGCUAAGAAGAAAAAGCAUUUCAUCUCUCUUUAUUCCUUGGUCAUAUUAUAAUAAUGUCUCACUGUACAUGUUGGCGUUGACGUCCUAUUCCUUUCAUAAUGCAUUUCCUCUCAUUCAUGUAUUAUGCUAAUGACAAAUUUAGCAUUAGCAUAAAAACCAAGAGUCGUUCCAGUGAGAGGCAUUUGGGAAAAUGUUAAGUGGGGGUCAGAAUAAAUGGGCAGAUAAUCAGGGGCUAAUCUGACGUUUUAAUCUAUUAGUUUCAGCAACAAUUAUUUCUAAUAACUUAAACCUAACACCCCUUUUAGGAAAUUCUUACCGGCUUAAUUUUUAAAAAAUUAUUUAUUAAUAACAUGUGGGGUUGUACCCCAGAUGACAGCUAGAGGCCAGUAAUUACAGACGUUUACUGUCAAGAAGCUCUCUCUCACUAUUUCACGGCCUAAGCUGUAAUAUAAAUUCUUUCUCCUCUCACUUUUGCACCUGAUGCACUGAACUGACUUACAGCAACUAAGAGCGAAUAAAGCUGUCACUGCUGGCGUCCAGUGUUCUUUAUUAUGGGAAUUUAUGGGACCGCUUGGAAGCCGUAACUCCUAAUGGUUAGGACAGUAACUGUGGAUGUAAGGAGUACUUGGCCUUUUUAACAGCGGCAUUCAUCUGAUCCAAGGUACAGUAACAGUUAUUUGAAGAGUUAAACUUCUGCAUGUUGCCAUAAAACAGCUGUAACAUCAUGUAACACACUGUGUCUGUUUUCACUGUUUUCACUGCCUGACAGUUACAGGUGACAGACUGAGUCCUGAGGAGUGGGAUUCCCUCGGAGCGCAUCCACCCACACAUCGAGGACAAAAGACAGAAGGAAGAGGCACCAAGACGGAGACUCUAGAUGUGCUGAGAGCCAAUGAAGAGACACUAAACGUCCGCUCAGACAGUGGAUCAAAUCUGAUUGCCGCCGACUCCCGUGUCCAUCUCUCUGACCUGUCUGUCAGCAGCGUGGGUGAGUUCGAGUGUGUGUGGAGGGAGAGAGGUAAGUCAAACAGGAGACGCUCUCCUCCUCUCUGGGUCACAAUCCACAGUUGCAGACUAAAUGCAACACUAAAAAAAUAAAAUAUUUUUGGAAUUCUGCCACAUUGUUUUUAUACAGAAUAAACGUAAGAGUUUUCACUCUGCAUAAAAAAUAAAUACACAUUUUCUACCUUUAUUUUCUUUAUUCUAUAUUUUGCUUUUUUGCUGUGGAUGGUGGCCUCAAUUACUCAAAAUUACGCAAAUUGCAUAAUAUCAUACUAAAAUCAAAUGAUUGAGUAUCACUUUUAUUUUUUUUAUUUUUUAUUUUUUUUGGCUUUCCGAUCCUACAGCAUAAGUAAACACCAAGUCCCAAGUUCCAUGCAAAUGGUCACACAUUCAGAUUCAGUGGCAAAAUGUUUCUAAAAUACUCACUAAACUAACUCUCAAGUAUGACUGUCAAGGUCAACCCAGGUUUAAUAAGUCUGUCCCAGGCCUGGCUCAAGGGUCAGUUGAAAUCCUUAACCAGGUCAGAUGUGUUUUUCUCUCAGACUGCCGGAACAGGGAACAAAACUAAUAAAUCAUACAAGUCCAGGUUUUCUUUCCUCCCUUGAGGUCCGCAGCAGUGAUUACAACGCCUUCUGUUUUAACUCAUAUUUCAAAAAUAAAGUAAGGGGAAAAUUGGCUUGUAGCCUAUUGGCCAGUAGGAUGUGGGAUUACUAUUUUAUUUUACAAAUCGCUUCAACUUUAAAUGCGUCCAUACAUUGAAUUUGUUGUGUAUGUCUACCUGUAUGAGACUUUAAUGCUGCAACCAUGUAAUGACAGAAAAUGUAACCCGGAGAAUUUGAUAUUUUGCAUUUGAGGUCGCUAAUGUCCAUCAUUUUUUUACCUUUUUACUUAGGGCUCUCCUUUAGAAAAUCCAUAUUUUAUAAGCACCCGUCCAGAUUUAUCUAUAAUUCAGAAAGCUCUGACCGGGGGCUGGGUGGUCAUAGGCCGGACAGGGGACCCCGGGGACUGCAGUCACUCCACCAGACUGUGACAAAAACAAAAUGCUCUGUGAACAAGAUGAUGAUGAUGAUGAUGGGCUUGUUGCCAGGGCAGACAGGCAAAACCAGGUUGACUGAAAACCAGCAGCCGUGCGACAGGCUUGUAGGGGCUGCAACAGUCUGGAAAUCCCGAGCGUCCAACCUUAUCGACUGUCAAGUUCAUGCAUAAAAUAAAGGUUUAAUGGGAUAAAUAUAUCUAAAAACCAAGUUUGGAUGCCGAGAUCUUGAAGCAGACUGAAAGGAAAUGUUGAUCAGUUUGGAGACGAGAUCAGUGAUGCAACACUAAGACGGUUUCAACCUGAUCCGAGGUGAAACGGAGAGCAGUAUUUAGAGUUGCUAGGCAGAAGAGACUGUCACAGAUGUAGUGGUGAAAAAGGUCGGUGCCAGUGGGAGGCAGAUGAUUGGCUGUGGCAACCUCAGGGCAAAUGUUGAGAAAACCCACAAGCUCCACAGACUGAAAUGACAACUUUUAUUUAUUUAUGUUUUCAAACAAUAACGCUCAAACUUUCAAAAACACAAAAGUUAACAGGGAACUAAACCAGUGUAGUAACCAGACUCUCUGAACAAAGCAACUUCGAAUACAAUCAGUUCCAUCAGCACAGAAACAGUUUCUGAGGCAAACUUGUAUACAAGAAAAAUAGUCAAACACACACACUCAAGUGGCAAAAAAAAAAUUAAUUCAACACUGCUUUUAAAAGUAAACAAGAUAGAAUGAAUACAAAAAACUAUACACGUGAUGUCAGAAAAUGACAACCCGAGAACAAAUCUUUUUCUCUUUCUACCCAAAGUGAACCGUGUACCGUGAGCCACUACCCAGAACUGAUGUUGCACAUCGCCGUACUUCAUUCAGUUUUUAAUAUGGAUUCAGAACAGAUGUAUAAAAUUUGAUGGGAAGUAAAAUUAACACCGUGAUUGUUUACUGUGAAGCCCAGACAUAAAUUAGAAAAAAAAAUUAAUACAAUUUAAAAUUAAAUUGUCCAGGCACAAUUAAUGGCUGCACUAAGUGAAUUGAAAACGUCCAGAAUUAACACGACUUUUCUUAAAAUAAAGACCAGUUAUGGAAGUUACAUUGAGGAAUGAAAUACAUUUUUUUAGGGAGGCUUAGCUGAUAUCAAGAAACAUACUUUAGUGCUGCAACAACCAGACUGUUAUCAUCGCUAAUAACAUUCAACGAAAUACAGUAGUGUUCACAUACAGAGAGCCUGACAAGUUAUAGAACAAACAAACACAAAUAACCCCAAAAUAAAUCAAAUAUGAAUUAUAAAGACACAAAAGGUGAUUUUAAGUCAAUUUUUUCAGUGUUGCAUGUCAAUAACAAGAAAAAAAAAA